rnacentral:rRNA from 1 species
UUGGAGGGCAAGUCUGGUGCCAGCAGCCGCGGUAAUUCCAGCUCCAAUAGCGUAUAUUAAAGUCGUUGCAGUUAAAAAGCUCGUAGUUGAAUUUCGGGGUCAGUAGGUUGGUCAUGCCACAGGUAUGUACUGAUCUUACUGAUUCCUCCUUCCUGAUGAACCGUAAUGCCAUUAAUUUGGUGUUGCGGGGAAACUGGACUGUUACUUUGAAAAAAUUAGAGUGUUUAAAGCAGGCUAACGCUUGAAUACAUUAGCAUGGAAUAAUGAAAUAGGACGUUCGAUCCUAUUUUGUUGGUUUCUAGGAUUGACGUAAUGAUUAAUAGGGAUAGUUGGGGGCAUUAGUAUUCAAUUGUCAGAGGUGAAAUUCUUGGAUUUAUUGAAGACUAACUACUGCGAAAGCAUUUGCCAAGGAUGUUUUCAUUAAUCAAGAACGAAAGUUAGGGGAUCGAAGACGAUCAGAUACCGUCGUAGUCUUAACCAUAAACUAUGCCGACUAGGGAUCGGAUGAUGUUAAUUUUUUAAUGACUCAUUCGGCGCCUUACGGGAAAC